CACAACGGCAGAAGCUGAAAAGAAGAAAUAUAUAAACCACAUUGAGGAGUUAGUCCAAUGAAUGGGAUGGGAGCCCUUCAAAGUCACAUAUACAAGCGAUUUAUGUUCAAGCUUUAUACGAGCAGGCAAUUGAGUUAAUCGGAAAGGGGAUAGCCUAUGUGGAUCACCAGGAGUUCUUUCAAUUCUCCUAUGCUUGGGAUCUGUUUGAUUGAUGGACCUUAAAGCUCAUGCAAUAAUGCAUGAACUUGUCAAAAGGUUCAGCUGCUACCAACAUAAAUGUGGCUAUGUUGGAAGAUGAUACAAGAAAUGUUCAUGCCGCUCUAAGCCAUUUGCACGAAGCACUAUUAUUAGUAGUUACAGAAGCUGGCACUUACAUGGGUGCAUGUCGGUGCCUUCUAGAGAUUAGGUUCCUGUUUAUCUAAUGCAAAUUUUGCUGCCUAUAUUGCGCAAGAUUGCUUUGCAGUUCUCUUGGACACUAGGAUUGAUUGUGUUGCUUGGUUCUGGUAUCUAAGGAUCUCUUGUGCUGAAACAU